UCCACUCUCUGUGUCCACUCUCUGUCUCUCUGUGUCCACUCUCUGUCUCUAGAGACACACACACACACACAUACCUGGUACAUUCUGCUCAUGUUAUUUUCGUUUUAAAAUCUGGGCAACAAAUAUAGAGAGAUGUUUUUGAAAGGGGGCAGGGUGAGAAGAUUAAAUUAGUGGAUUCUCGAGCCAGUGAUAACAAUGUAGGAACUCGCGUGGUCGGGCUAUCCACAGACUGGCACACAAGUUGACCUUGUGUCUACAUCAGUUUUGGUCCAGGUGUCAAUGUCCACAUCAGUUUUGGUCCAGGUGUCAAUGUCUACAUCAGUUUUGGUCCAGGUCUUGGUCCAGGUGUCAAUGUCCACAUCAGUUUUGGUCCAGGUGUCAAUGUCCACAUCAGUUUUGGUCCAGGUGUCAAUGUCCACACCAGUUUUGGUCCAGGUAUCAAUGUCCACAUCAGUUUUUUGUCCCGGUGUGGGGGAGUAUGUCAAUGUCUUCCACCCCGCCCUGAUGUCUCACGUGACAUCUGUUUGUUGACAUUUGUUUUGUUGACAUCUGUUUGUUGACCUCCCCCCCCCCCCACUCUGUGUCGGCCAGGAGUGAGCCCGUCAGAAGUCUCCUUUGGUUUUAGAAAUUACUUUUUAUUCAUUGAUAAGGAAAUUUAUUCUUCUCAUUUUGUGGAAUGACAUUCAUUUCUGGAUUUUUUUUAUUUUUUUUUCAAUUCUGUUUUGUCUUAGGCUAAUUACUUGUGAUUUUUGUUUUUAUGUUCUGUUUUUCUAUUCUAUACAUAUAAUAUAUAUAUAGGUAAAAAAGAGAAGGUUGAGUAUUUCUCCAUGGUGGAGCCUGUUGAAGCGAGCAAGCUUUGUCGGAGGACUGGGCUGCACGCGUUUGGUUGUGUACAUAGAUGAUGACAUCCCAAUGUUCUUUUACCACUACAAUACUUAGCUUGAUGUGCG